UCCGAGUUGACCCCGGCAGUCUCCUAUGAGUCCCCACCAUCACGUGCUGGCAACAUAGGACAAGGGUUGCGCUCGUUGCGGGACUUAACCCAACAUCUCACGACACGAGCGCAACCCUUGUCCUUAGUUGCCAUCAGGUUAUGCUGGGAACUCUAAGGAGACUGCCGGUGACAAACCGGAGGAAGGUGGGGAUGACGUUCGUCUGAC
rnacentral:misc_RNA from 1 species